AUCAAUAUCUGCGUACAUAUAAAUUACCGAUGAAUGAUACCAUGUCGGGUAGUAAAAAUCGUAAAUAAAUUUUGACAAAAACGUAAUUAUAACGGUCUUUUAAUACUUGUAUAACCGAACUUCGCUCCGAAUCGUUUUGCGUUAUCAAUGGUUUAUCGUUGGUUACACGUAUAAAUUAAAUAACUCUGUGUAUCGUAUCAUCUUUUUCUU